rnacentral:tRNA from 1 species
GGAUAUAGCUCAGUAGUAGAGUGCAUGCUUAGCAUGUAGGAAGUGCUGGGUUCAAUUCCCAGUACCUCCA